UAGUGGCAGACGGGUGAGUAACACGUGGGUAACCUACCUUCAAGCUGGGGAUAACAGUUGGAAACGACUGAUAAUACCGAAUAAGAUAUAGCAAUAUAUUGAAAGGAGCCUCUAAAGCUCCACUUAAAGAUGGGCCUGCGGCGUAUUAACUAGUUGGUGAGGUAAUGGCUCACCAAGGUGACGAUGCGUAGCCGAACUGAGAGGUUGAUCGGCCACACUGGGACUGAGACACGGCCCAGACUCCUACGGGAGACAGCAGUUAGGAAUAUUCGUCAAUGGGGGAAACCCUGAACGAGCAAUGCCGCGUGAGUGAUGAAGGCCCUAUGGGUUGUAAAACUCUGUUGUAUGGGAAGAACGGCUAUAUUAGGAAAUGAAUAUAGAGUGACGGUACCAUACCAGAAAGCUCCGGCUAACUACGUGCCAGCAGCCGCGGUAAUACGUAGGGAGCGAGCGUUAUCCGGAUUUAUUGGGCGUAAAGCGUGCGUAGGCGGUUUAUUAAGUUUAAGAUAAAAGCCCGGGGCUCAACUCCGGUUCGUCUUAAAAACUGGUAGACUUGAGUGUGGUAGAGGUAAAUGGAAUUUCUAGUGUAGCGGUGAAAUGCGUAGAUAUUAGAAGGAACACCAGUGGCGAAGGCGAUUUACUGGGCCAUAACUGACGCUGAGGCACGAAAGCGUGGGGAGCAAAUAGGAUUAGAUACCCUAGUAGUCCACGCCGUAAACGAUGAGUACUAAGUGUUGGAGAUUCCAGUGCUGAAGCUAACGUAUUAAGUACUCCGCCUGAGUAGUACGGUCGCAAGGCUGAAACUCAAAGGAAUUGACGGGCACCCGCACAAGCGGUGGAGCAUGCUGUUUAAUUCGAAGAUACGCGAAGAACCUUACCUAGACUUGACAUCCCCGGCAAAGACAUGGAAACAUGUUGGAGGUUACCCGGGAGACAGGUGGUGCAUGGUUGUCGUCAGCUCGUGUCGUGAGAUGUUCGGUUAAGUCCGCUAACGAGCGCAACCCUUAUCCUUAGUUGCUAACAGUAAGAUGAGAACCCUAAGGAGACUGCCGGUGAUAAGCCGGAGGAAGGUGGGGAUGACGUCAAAUCAUCAUGCCCCUUACGUCUAGGGCUACAGGCGUGCUAUAAUGGCCAAUAUAAAGAGAAGCAAUACCGUGAGGUGGAGCAAAACUCCAAAGUUGGUCUCAGUUCGGAUUGAAGUCUGCAACUCGACUUCAUGAAGUUAGAAUAAACUAGUAAUCCUGAAUCAGAAUGUCAGGGUGAAUA
rnacentral:rRNA from 1 species